rnacentral:tRNA from 1 species
GGAGGCGUGGCUGAGCGGUCGAAAGCAGCACACUGCUAAUGUGUUAGGGGAGAAAUCCCCUCGAAGGUUCGAAUCCUUCCGCCUCCG